AUCUAAAUAGUAUAAAAAGUAUUUUAAGCUUCCAACUUAAAGGUUAAUAUUAUAAUUAAUUAGAUA
rnacentral:tRNA from 1 species